rnacentral:rRNA from 1 species
GACCUGGUGGUAAUGGCAGGGGGUCCCCACCGGAUCCCAUCCCGAACUCCGUCGUUAAGCCCCCUUGCGCCGAUGGUACUACGUCUUAAGGCGUGGGAGAGUAGGUCGCUGCCGGGUC